UACAGAGGGUGCAAGCGUUAAUCGGAGUUACUGGGCGUAAAGGGCGCGUAGGCGGUAAAUUAAGUGUGAUGUGAAAGCCCCGGGCUUAACCUGGGAAGUGCAUCGCAAACUGACUUGCUAGAGUAUAUGAGAGGGUGGCGGAAUUUCCGGUGUAGCGGUGAAAUGCGUAGAGAUCGGAAGGAACGUCAAUGGCGAAGGCAGCCACCUGGCAUAAUACUGACGCUGAGGCGCGAAAGCGUGGGGAGCGAACAGG
rnacentral:rRNA from 1 species